rnacentral:rRNA from 1 species
CACGUAGGGCGCAAGCGUUGUCCGGAAUUAUUGGGCGUAAAGAGCUCGUAGGCGGUCUGUUACGUCUGCUGUGAAAACCCAGGGCUUAACCCUGGGCUUGCAGUGGAUACGGGCAGACUAGAGGUAGGCAGGGGAGAGCGGAACUCCUGGUGUAGCGGUGGAAUGCGCAGAUAUCAGGAAGAACACCGGUGGCGAAGGCGGCUCUCUGGGCCUUACCUGACGCUGAGGAGCGAAAGCGUGGGUAGCGAACAGG